rnacentral:rRNA from 1 species
GACAGAGGUGCCAAGCGUUAGGCGGAAUCACUGGGCUUAAAGCGUGUGUAGGUGGAUUUGUAAGUACCUUGUGAAAUCCCAUGGCUCAACCAUGGAACUGCUCGGUAUACUGCGAAUCUUGAGCCACUUAGGGGCUACCGGAACAAAUGGUGGAGCGGUGAAAUGCGCAGAUAUCAGGAGGAACACCGAUUGCGAAGGCAGCUCGCUGGAACGUUACUGACGCUGAGACGCGAAAGCGUGGGGAGCAAACAGG